GCGCCCAUGUCCAUGCUGGGUUUUCCCAGCCAGGCUCUGUGCUUCCCGUUGUAUCAUUUUCCUUAGCUCAUUUUGGGAAAGAGGGCAAGGAGUUUUGCUGCAAUGUUCCCAAAAGGUUCACCUACGGGGCUGCCAAUAUGAAGGAAAAUCAGUGGCACUGGGAAAUCUCAGGCACCCUCACUGUCACAGAUUUUGAUUUGUGCAAAUGUUGUGUCUGCAGAUGGCAGUAAAGAAUGCCUUUCAUUCCUGGGAACGUGGGCAAUAAUUGUGCUUUGGCCACAGCACCUGCUUGCUUGCACCAAAAUGUCGCUGCGGCAGCACGAGCUGCCAGGACCCACAGGGAGAAGGGAUCUUUGGGAAAGGGGAGCUGUGCUGGAGCACAGCAGGGGCUAUUUGUUCAAGGCUUUGUAACCUUGGGGAAGUUGUUUUGGCUCCUUUCAUUUCUGGGCUGGUGACCCAGGUGGGGACAUGCUGCCCCAUACCACAGCCAGCACCAGCAGAUCCCAACCGUGCCUGAUGUACAUCACUGUAGACGGGUGAUUUCUGGCUCUGCCUUCUCACGAUUUCUCAUUUUGCUUCCUCUGUCUCAGUAAGAAAAUAUCAUCCAGCUCAUGACAUUUCCUUGAAGUUACUUGUGAGCUGUUCCCAGUGCUCGCCAGGGCAGCGCUGCACGCAGCCGGCAGGACCUGAGCCAGCUUCUCCACCCAGUGCCGGGGCUGAUGAACUCCCUGGAGAUGUGUUUGCCAUCACCAUGGCCUUUAAGGAGUCCUGGAACAUGGUCUAAUUUCAUGAUUUUUUCCAUCUGGUUUGCCAGUUUAAAGCCGUUUUCACACAUGGCCAAAAAUAACUUCAUUUUUCUCUCAUGAGCUCUGGAAGCAGAAGCUUGUGGUGGUGAAAGGACACCAGGCAUCCACGGGAGCAGCUGGGACACAGCAGGUGCCUCCUAUCCCCUGAAGACCGUGGAACAGGGGGGCACACAGGGACAACCCUCAGGCAAAGAGGGGAUGAAUGCCUGAAUGCCAGCAUUGGAUUGCUGUCACAGCUCAGACAUCCUAGGGUCAGCUCCAUGCUGCCCUCUCGUCCACCACAUGUCAUUGUCCCUGAGCCCCUUCUCACGGGACAGCUUUUAGCCCUGCUGAAAGCAGCACCAAAGGGAGGAGGAGAGAUGCCGAUGACCUCGCUGCUGAUGUCAGAGCAGAGCUCUGCACUUCGUUGCCAUGGCAAUGGAACAAGGACCACAACACACAUUUUCUGGCACAACAUCAGCCGCUCCCACUGCAUCCCAGGGAAUGUUCUCAUGGGACCACGGGCUUCGCCUGCUGUGGUCUCAUUCUUGGAUUCCUCACCUUACAGGAAACAGCUUCUCUCAGUGAUUUUCAGCAUAUCACAGUAAUUUUCUGGAAAUGACACCAAACCACCCCGGAGGUGUUGAACAGAGGUGAAUCAGCUUUAUCAGGUUGGGCAAAGGGAAACUUGGAUCCUCAGUGCAGAGGGCAGUCUUAAGUGGAAAAAAGGCUGUGAGGCUGUCACUGGGGGGAACUGAUCCCCAGGCAUCCCAUAGCUGCAGCCAAGCCUUUGGGCCCAGGCUCAGCAUGUUGUGAAGCAGCUGAGGACACGCAUUUUUUCCCUAAAUCCUUCUGUGCAUCCCAUCCUUAAUUCUCCACUCCUUUCCUUCCUGCCAAAACAGGGGGAAGGAAUGUUUGGGGAGUGAGGUCAGUGGGAAGGCUGUACUUGCCUCCAUCUGGGCUUGUCUGGGGCUGGGGCAUGCAGGUGGCCAGAAGGACAGAUGGGAGGAUGCGGCUGCGAGCAUCUCCUGUGCACCUGAAUGACUUCUGGUGUUAUUAUUUGAUCCUGUGCGAACUGAAUGAUUUAAGGCUGUGGAAUUUUGCUCCUCCCAGAGAAAGGAACCAAGUGGCCAGCUCAGCGCCCUGGCUGCUGAGGUUCACUGCUCCUCCCCACCUCUCUCCUCCUGCUGCUCCUUUUGGGAUAACAAUGGCAGGAUCCAGAUGCUUAUCUGACGCUCCCACUGCCGCCCUCGGCUGAAGCACAGCGGCUGUGCAGGGGCAGCAAGCCCAGUCCCGUUAGGAUCAGGCUAUAGAGUAAGAAUUCACUGGGAUUAGGUGUUACUGAACAGGAGGCACCGCAGUGAAAUGGCAGAUUUCGCAUGUGAAUGGUACUAAUGCAAUCCCACAGCAGCCACAGCUCCAGUACACAUGGAUUUGUCACCUGUUGAUAAAUCACUAAAAUACAGGCCAAAACUAAGCUGUGCAAAGGACAUAGAAAUAGAAGAAAAGAAGCCUUGCUGCUGAGCUGCAGCUCCUGCUUGAGAUUUCCUUUCCCUGUACCCAUGCCCUGAGGACUGGCAUUUCCAGCGUCCACAUAUUGUGAUUAUGCAUCACAGUCUGUAUUUCCCUGAAGAUAACCAGGAAACAUGUAAUUAUCAACCUCAUCUUGAACUAAGAGCCACAACAGCCCCAAGGGUCCUUAUCAAAUGAACCAAGUGAGUUUUUGGAACCAGAUUUUCUGAACAGCACAGCCCCAAAGUGCUGGAUAGGGACAAACCCAGCUCCAGUGUGGCAGAGUUGGGCUGCAUGGGAUAUGUGCAUGGUUAUGUGAAUAGAUUUAUGGGAGAUAUUGGGAAGAAUCUCUGGAUUUUGAAUUUUCUUUGACAUGGGUCAGCGCUCAGCAGUGAGGUUUUGGAGCAGCAGUGCCAGGUACUUUUCCUACAGCCCUGGGGAGUAGCAUGCCAGGUUCUCUACGCCAGUAUUCUUCCCACUGAACCCCGCUGGCUUUCCAGAGAGGGGAUUGCUGUUGGCUUCUUAUUUUUAUUUAAUGUGAUAUUUUGCUACGUGGGGCCAUAAGGGAGCACACAGUGGAUACAGCAGCAGGGCUGCCCUGAGUACACGAUAGCAGUAGAAAACUGCUGAUGCUUUCCUGUAUUGUGGGGUGCCUCCCUGCAGGAAAUAGCGCUUUGUGGUGCGGAGUGCUUCGCCUUCCUGCGUGGCCCCUCUGCUGAGCACUGGGAAAGUUGGGGUGUACCCAUGGCUGGGGAAAGGGAGCGUAAUGCUGAGGGGCUGCAGGAGCCCCACUUCCCAAAAAGCCCUCCAAGGUCCACCAGACUGCCCCGUUAUAUAAAGAUGUGUUAAAGGAUUCAAUCUGCAGAUGCUGUCGGCUCACAGCAUGAUGAGCAGUGAUUUAACCAUGGCAGCAGAGAUGCAGCUGACUGCUGAUUGCUUCGCCACUCUCUCACUGGUGCCACGGAGGUGAGGCUGAGGAGUUGGGAGGAGGAUGGGGUGUUGAGCACUGGAGCAUGACAGCUCCAGGGAGGGGACGCUUCUGCCUCUGUGACCUUUGUUUGGGACCCUGUCUUCACAUGAGUCACCGCAUGCAAGGAGGGUGUGUUCAGCUUUUCCUGUGCCACCUCCCUCUGGGGACCAUGAUGCUCCCCUUCCAAGCACGUUUCUCAGAGACAAAGCCUGAAGAAAUGGUGCCAGAGCAAUGAAAAUGCCCUGCAAACCCGAGCACUGCCUGCACACAUGGUUCUUAAUGUGCGGCACGCCUUUCCAUCAAGCUAAACAAUGCUGACCAUCAUUUCCAGGACAGACUGCCUUCGGUAACACCUUAAUAAACUUUUCCCUUUGUUUGACAUCUUGGUUUCCUUUUUCUCGGACAUUAAGCUGCUUCCUCUAGUUCUCUGGAGUUCUUCAGAUCGAGGUGGAGACACAUUUCAGAUAAAGACAUGCCAUUGUUCUGACAGGGAGGAGCUGGGCAAGAUCCCCAUCCGACCUCAUGUGCACACCUAUGGGAUAUGAACCACCUCUCUGGGCAACUGUUCCAGUGCCUCGCUACCCUUAGUGUAAAAAACUUCUUCCUUAUGUCCAAUCUAAAUCUCCCCUUUUAGUUAGAAACCAUUUCCCCUUGUCCUAUCACAACAGACCC
rnacentral:lncRNA from 1 species